CAAAUGAAUUGACGGGACCCGCACAAGCGGUGGAUGAUGUGGUUUAAUUCGAUGCAACGCGAAAAACCUUACCCACCUUUGACAUGGCAGGAAUCCCGAAGAGAUUUGGGAGUGCUCGAAAGAGAACCUGCACACAGGUGCUGCAUGGCUGUCGUCAGCUCGUGUCGUGAGAUGUUGGGUUAAGUCCCGCAACGAGCGCAACCCUUGCCAUUAGUUGCUACGAAAGGGCACUCUAAUGGGACUGCCGGUGACAAACCGGAGGAAGGUGGGGAUGACGUCAAGUCCUCAUGGCCCUUAUAGGUGGGGCUACACACGUCAUACAAUGGCCGGUACAGAGGGUAGCCAACCCGCGAGGGGGAGCCAAUCCCACAAAGCCGGUCGUAGUCCGGAUCGCAGUCUGCAACUCGACUGCGUGAAGUCGGAAUCGCUAGUAAUCGCGGAUCAGCAUGUCGCGGUCGAAUACGUUCCCGGGCCUU
rnacentral:rRNA from 1 species